UGUGUGUGGUGUGUGUCUGCACAUGGGGGGGUGUGUGUGUGUGUGCGUGUGUGUGCGUGUGCGUGUGUGUGUCUGCACAUGUGGGGGUGUGUGUGUGUGUGCAUGUGUGUGCGUGUGUGUGUGUGUGUGUGUGCGUGGGGUGUGCGUAUGCGCGCACGCACGUGUGAUUUACGGAACAUCAGUUCAUGGCUAAAACACGGGGGUCCCCUUUGCUCGCCAUGGAAACACCUGAUUUCACCAGGGGCGGCAGAAGCAAGAGCGCGCAAAGAGAAAGGGGAAGAGGUGGAAGUCAGCUCGCCUCGCUGCAGUCAUUGUGGUACUCUGCAAAUGACUGUGCGCUUUCUCUGCCACAGGUAGGUUCGUGUGGGAGGCCCCAGCAGUACCUUGUUUUGUUUAGAUACAUCUGAGGUCUGAUACCUUAAUCAGCACCCGAGCCGCUGCUGCUGAUUCAGACUGAAAUUCAGCGCUCGCAUAUUUUCUGUUUUCCUGCCUGCUGUGCAAAUUCUGCCGUUUUUUUUUUUUUUUUUUUGCAUUCACACCGUUACAACCCAACACCCCCACACACGCGGGCACGCGCGCGCACACACACACACACAGACACACACAACUCUGAACUCACGUAGAGUUGGCCAGUGGAAAAGAAAAAUUAAUUAGUCAUUCAUACUUCGCAGUUUUCCAAGCUUGAAGGAGUGGUUUUCCUGUGUCCAGACAAAUUCAUACAUACACACACAUAUAUAUAGGUUUAGACAUGCACCUGUACACAGUAUCACGAAAGCCUUUGAAAAACUUUCAGAAAGAUUUCUAUCGCUUAAGAGCGCUUCAACAAUGCAACUGCUAACCUUUUGCCUUCUAGUAAUUGUGGGACACAAUGUAACGGGUGCUCCACUGGGUCAAAUCCAGCAAAAACUGCAUGAAAUUCAGAAGGAUCUGACAAAACUAAACAGGAGUGUGCUGCACAAUGAUUUUAUGCUGAAUACACCUCAGACAGAGGAUAUAAAGAAAUGCUGCAUGGGACAGGCACUGCAGUGCUUCAGUGAAAAACUGCGUGAGCUGAGGAUCAAACCAAAUCUUCCAGCGACUGCAUCCUUGAAAAGAAGACUCAGCAACAGUCUACAGAAAACCACCAUUCAAAACAGUGUCAAUUCCUGCAGUGAGAAUGAAACAAAGAAUGCGAACUGUCAAGAAUGUGACUCCUACCCCAUGAGAGACAGCAAACAGUUUGUCCUCGCACUUAAAACACUACUUCAGCAGUCUAUGAUACUCGCGCGGCCCUGAUGUUUCAAUGAGCCCGUGACACUACUUCACCUGCAAGCUUCCAGGAGUCCCUCUUCUGUUACACAUUCUAUUUAUCCAGCACUGUUCAAAUGUGCUUGAUAGUGAAAGAAGGAAGGGGGGGGGGGGUACCUCUUCUGUUUUUGUUUGUCAGUGCUUCACUGUUAUUUAUUCAUUAUUUAUUUUACAUUGGUGUUGAACAAGCGGUUUACUAUUUUUUUUAAUUUUUUUAGGCAAAAUAUUAUUUUAUAACAUAAUUUAUUUCUGAGUGUGAUUUUUGUUUGCAAAUUACUUUCUCAGUAUGUUUUAGACAACAGUGUAUCAGUGCAGCACACCAAUGUCCUGAAUUUUUGUUUUGUAAAAAAAAAUCUGUAAGGGUGUAGAAGUGUCUCUCUCUCAAGGCAUUUAAAUAUUCAGUCUGUUGUAACAAUCAAACGAAGCAAAGGAUUGUUCUGAUGCAAUGUGAAGUAUUCAUACUUCACAGCGUAGUUAACCACUGCUGACUCUUCUGAAAACCUCUUCUUCGGCGCCACCUGUGGUGUUUCCUGUGAAUUGCAGCUCAUGGUUUUCAGAAGAGUACAACGCUGUGAAGUGUGAAUACUUCACAUUGUAUCAGAACAUCUCUAUGUACUGACUCAUUAGUCAUUUUAUUUAUUAUUAAUGCUAUUUAUUUGUGUAUUUAUUCCAAAGAACCACAAGCUAACCUUUUUCAAUUGCUGAGAUCCUGAUCAGCAACUGUCCAAAAUGUUUUGAACAAGCUUUUGUGUAUCUCCUGUGAAUUUAAGAAAAAAAAAAAGUGGUAUAAGUACAGAGUAUCAUUUUAUUUAAGGUUAUCUCAUAAUGAGAAUUUAAAUGUUUGUAUCAUUAUACAAAAAAUAUUAAUGUAUUUUCUUGUUUUUAAUGGACUAUUCUUACUAUUUAUUAAAAAAAUUUUCAAUAAAUUCAGGCAUGAUUCUUUAAUAACACACAAAGCCAAUUCUCACAGGGCAGCAGAACACAUUCGAACUUUGAAAGCAGCUUUUAUUUAAUCUAGCCUAAGCUAAUAAGCCAGAUAUUUUAUCAAGGAGUAUCAUUUGACCCAGAUUCACAGAUUGAGAAUUAGUCUUUGACACAGCAAACCUGUUAGAAGUGUUGAUGUGAGCAUCUGGACUGACAUUCAAUUACUAAGGGUAACAUGGCUGGAAUUAAAUAUUAAUGCCAAUGCCAAUCUGUUUAUAUUUUAUUGAAAAGUUAACUUUCAAAUCCAUACACUCAAUUGCUGGCUUUUUCUACAUUACAUUACAAGCGCUCUUAUCCAGAGCAACCAAAACAAAUUUUUACAAAGAAUUUACAUUGUAUCCAUUUAUAUAGCUGGAUAUAUACUGAAUACAUUUAUACAGCUGGAUAUAUACUGCAUCCAUUUAUACAGCUGAUAUAUACUGAAGCAAUGCAGGUUAAGUACCUUGCUCAAGGGUAUAAUGGCAGUGUCCUAGUGGGGAAUCUUUAGCUUACAAGACCAACUCCUUACCCAUUAUACUAGACUGCCAGGUAUGGGUAUGAUGGCAGAACCUGUUAGCUGUGGGCUACGUGCUAAAACUGCCCAGAUGAAGCCCAUCUGUUACCUAUGUGCUAAUAUCGGUCCGGAUGGGCUGAAACAGAACAGUGGUGCAAACUAGCGCAGAAUAAAGCAGUUAAACAGCAGACAAGAAGCUAAAUUCUUUACCUUAAAUGUGUGCUACACUGCCCUCCAGUGGUUAUUCCUUGGCAUCUCAUCUCACACAUCUUUUAUUAUUUCACAUUCUUCAUUUUAUAUAU